rnacentral:misc_RNA from 1 species
UUAAGUUCAGCGGGUAGUCCUACCUGAUUUGAGGUCAAAAUGUCAAAGAUUGUCCAAUUUAAUAGACCGUUAGAAGCUGAGCCCCAUGUAAAGCUUCACAACCAAUGGCGUAGAUAAUUAUCACACCAAUAGCUGUUCCACAAAGGUUCUGCUAAUGCAUUUAAGGAGAGCCGACCUCUUGCGAAGCCCGCAACCCCCAU